UACGUAGGGUGCGAGCGUUAAUCGGAAUUACUGGGCGUAAAGCGUGCGUAGACGGUUACAUAAGUCAGAUGUGAAAGCCCCGGGCUCAACCUGGGAAUUGCAUUUGAGACUGUGUAGCUAGGGUGCGGAAGAGGGAAGCGGAAUUUCCGGUGUAGCGGUGAAAUGCGUAGAUAUCGGAAGGAACACCAGUGGCGAAAGCGGCUUCCUGGUCCAGCACCGACGUCAGGCACGAAAGCGUGGGGAGCAAACAGG
rnacentral:rRNA from 1 species